UGAAUCAAUGAUUCAAGACUUGUUAAUAUAAUAUGUAGAUCUCAUAUCUUAUUCUUAAACAACAUUUUUAAUAAAAAUUUGAAUCCUCGAACGAAGACAAAAAGGUAUACAAAAAAGAGCUCGACUCUCAUUUAGGUUCCAACUCGGCUGGAUGUGCCAAACUUUAUGGUAGGCUUUUAUUCAACUUCACGCAGUGAUGAAAAUGGAGGAAAGCAAAAUUGCAGCUAAAGAGACAGUACAGUUGAUGACAUACAACACAACGAUAAUGUCUCAAGAUUUAAGAAAGUCCCCUCACCUUCAUAUUUCCCUUUGCAAAGGGUGUCUACAGAAAAGGGAUAUAUUAUGAACACCGUAUCAGUGUAAACUCCAGUUUAUUUUCCUUCUAAGCAUGUAUGAGGUAAAUGAUAUUGUUAAAUUUGGCUUU